CUGAAUAUCAAAAUGCUACAAGAAUUCAUGGAGAUUCAGUUCUUGGUCACAAGGUAAUCCAUCGUGACCAAGAAGCAGCAACUCAUCGUCUCUUCAACGACUAUUUUUCUGAAAAUCCAACAUUCAACGAAGGAAUAUUUCGUAGUUGCUUCCGAAUGUCUCGAAGUCUAUUCCUCCGCAUUGUUGAUGCUGUCAAAAAUCAUAAUGAUUUUUUCGAGCAAUGCAUGGAUUGCACAGGAAGAUGGGGCUUGUCCACACUGCAAAAAAUAAUAGCUGCCUUUCAAAUAUUGGCAUACGGGGUACCAGUAGAUGCUACUGACGAGUACAUAAAUAUUGGUGAAUUCACUGCAAUUAAAUGUGUCAAGAAAUUCUGUCGUGCAAUUGCGGAAAUAUUUUCUGAUCAAUAUCUAAGAUCUCAUAAUGCUAGUGAUGUUGCUAGACUACUUUAUAUUGGUAAACAACGUGGAUUUCCCGAAAUGUUAGGUAGUCUUGAUUGUAUGCAUUGGAAGUGGAAAAAUUGUCCAACAGGUUGGGCAGGCUCGUAUGCCGGUCGUAGUGGCUCUCCAACAAUUAUUCUUGAAAUCGUUGCUGAUUAUGACCUUUGGAUAUGGCAUGCAUUCUUUGGUAUGCCAGGAUCCAAUAAUGAUAUUAAUGUGUUGGAAAGAUCUCAUCUUUUCAGUGACCUUGCUAGAGGUAUCACUUCAUCCACACAUUAUGUCAUACAAGGAAAAGAGUAUAAUGUUGGCUAUUAUUUAGCAGAUGGUAUAUACCCCAAGUGGUCCACACUUGUACAAACUUUUCAUGAACCACGCUCUGUCAAAAAAAAGUUUUUUGCAAUGAGACAGGAAUCGUGUAGGAAAGAUGUGGAGCGUGCAUUCGGAGUUAUUCAAAGCCGAUUUGCAAUUGUUGCAAAUCCAGCCCGCUACUGGCAAAGAAACAUUUGCAUAUAUAAUGAAAGCGUGCAUUAUCAUGUCAUAAUAUGAUUGUUGAAGAUGAACGUGACAUGUCUGCACCAAUUGAAAUUGCAAGAGAAGUGCCAAUUCUAGAUGUUGAAACAAUGCUAAAUGAAACAAGUCAUUUCCAAGAAUUUCUUGGACGCUAUAAAAAAUCAAAGAUAGAGUGGCUCACUUUGCGCUUCGUGAUGCAUUAGUCGAUCAUAUAUGGGAGGAGUUUUCUAAUUUAGAAAAUUAGUUGGUUUUAUCAUGUAAUUUAUGCUUUGUUAAAUAUUAUGUAAUGUUUAAUUCUAAGAGUAUAUGUAAUUUCAGUUUUUAUGUUGUUGAAAUAAAUUAAUCGUUCUACAAUAUUUAAAUAUAGCACUUUAUUAAUCAAUUUUUCUCAAAAAUAUUUAAAUUAAUUUAUAUUUGAAUUUGAAUUUUAAUCACAUUUAAUUGAAUAUAAAUAUAAUUAUUUAUAAAUAUAUAUGAUAUAUAAUGAUUAAAUUGAUAAAAUAAUUUAAUAUUUUUUAAUUUUUUUUGUUACAACUAGGGAUGGCAAUCGGGUACGAUGGGUACGAAUAGUGAUUAUCCAUACUCAUAUCCACGAACUAAAUGGAUAGUGGUUUUUAACCACGAAACUAUCCAUUGAUAUCAAAUGGUAUUCAAACCCGCUACUCACGGAUACCCGUUACCCGUCGGGUAUCCGCGAACCCGCUAUCCGCCAGAUACCCGCCAUCUACUAUCCGCCGGAUACCCACGAAACAGAAUUUAAAUACAAAUUUUUUAACACAUUUAAUAGAAAUAAAAAUCAAUUUGCCAAACAUAUAAUCAAUUUGCAUCCACUGUUGACAGAUUAUUCAAUAAAUAAUAUACUCAAUUUGCCAAAUAUAUACUCAAUUUACUCAAUUUUCAGAUUAAUUAAAAUGCCAACAUAUGUAAUCUUUAACAGAUUUCAGUUUAAUUGCUAGAUUUCAAUUUAAAUGACUUACUAAAUUUUAGUUUAAUUAAAUAAACUCAAGUUAAAUACCUUUAGUGGCGUCUGGACUGGACUCUGAACGGCUGGGCAGCGCCGGUGCGCGGAGGACAGCGGCUGGGCGGUGCCGGUGCACGGAGGACAGCUUGAGAGUGGAGAGGAGGGAGUUGAGAGAAGAGAGGAGGGCGGAGGUCAGCGGCUGGAAUGGCGACGGCGAAUGGCGUUGCUGGAGGAGGGCGAAAGAAUGGCGUUGCUAGACGAGGUCGGCGGGCGGCGAGUGGCUGCCGGCUGGUGGCUGGAAUCGCGAUUCGCGGGAGGGCUUAGGGGAAGAAACGACUGCGUUGCUGGAUGAAGGCAGACGAAUGGCGUUGCUGGACGAGGUCGGCGGCCGACUGGUGGCUGGAAUCGCGACUGCCACAAGGAUUGCUUAGGGGAAGAAAUGGCUAAGCCGCUGAAGUUGAGCGGCUGUGUUAGGGGCUUUGGAGAAUUAGGGUUUAGGUUUAGAUGAAUUAGAUUAUUAGAGUUUGGGCAUUGCUUCAGUUUUUAUCUGGACUUAUUUUAAGAUAUAAUAUGCUAGCACAUAAUCUUAAAAUAUAUAUUCAAAGCCUAUAUUUUUUGGAUUU
rnacentral:lncRNA from 1 species